AUGCCUGGGAGGUCGACCAUGGAAGCCAUUUUCUUGGUACGACAACUUAUGGAGAGAUAUAGGGAGCAUAAGAAGGACUUGCCUAUGGUGUUCAUUGACUUGGAGAAGGCCUAUGAUAAGAUACCGCGGAAUGUCAUGUGGUGGGCCUUGGAGAAACACAAAGUCCCAGCAAAGUACAUUACCCUCAUCAAGGACAUGUACAAUAAUGUUGUGGCAAGUGUUCUAACAAGUGAUGUCGACACCGAUUACUUCCCGAUUAAGAUAGGACUGCAUCCGGGGUCAGCUUUGAGCCCUUAUCUUUUUGCAUUGGUGAUGGAUGAGGUCACAAGGGGUAUACAAGGAGAUAUCCCAUGGUGUAUGCUCUUUGCGGAUGAUGUGAUGCUAGUUGACGAUAGUAGGAUGGGGGUAAAUAGGAAGUUAGAGUUAUGGAGACAAACCUUGGAAUCGAAAGGGUUUAGGCUUAGUAGAACUAAAACCGAGUACAUGAUGUGCGGUUUCAGUACUACUAGCUGUGAGGAGGAGGAGGUUAGCCUUGAUGGCCAGGUGGUACCUCGGAAGGACACCUUUCGGUAUUUGGGGUCAAUGUUGCAGGAGGAUGGGGGUAUUGAUGAAUAUGUGAACCAUCGAAUCAAAGCCGGAUAG
rnacentral:rRNA from 1 species